GUUCCUUAUGUUAUGUUGUGUUCCCUGUGCUGAUACCCUCUUCUGCUCGCCAUGAUACCCUUGUGUUUUUGUCUGUGGAUUCUGUGGACUUUGAUUUAAGGUCAACACAGACAUACACUGGCACACUUUCUCUACAUGGAUGAAGACGUUCUGGGUCGUUAUACAAGACAGGGAACUGGAUUUUCCAUCCUCAGCUGAACCACCAAUAAUACAUAUGACUCCAAAUAUGACCUGAUGUCGAAUGGAAGUACGGGUUGAAUCCACAAAGAAGAGGAUUAAAGGAAACCCCUCCAGUCAAAAACUCCAGCUCCUCUGCUGUCACGCUGUUACCACACUUCUCAGCAGACGUCCCGGCCUCUUUGUGAAUUGGAUGCGCCCUUCACAGAAUGAUGAAAGAAGUCAAUAACAAAGUGCCAACCACCCCUCAAACCAAGCUUUCAUUAACUGUAUCCACUUCUCAUUCUAGUCAGCUCAUCGUGUGGACACAACAUCCCCUCCUUUGUCACACACAUGCUGAGCUCAUUGGCGCACACUUCAAAUCUUUAAAUCUCCUACAAACCAUCAGAUAAACUGCAGAUGUAGCUCAGCUCUGUGUAUGCUGAGGUGAUUACAAAUGCAGCCUGCAUCACAUUAGCAGAGGAAAUGACAGGAAGAUGACUGAAUCCAAUAUAAGCAUCAAGGCGGCCGUGUCUAUC